rnacentral:ncRNA from 1 species
CAUCGUGAGGUGGGGUCUGAAGGAAGCCGGAGGCAAAACACUGGCCUGUAAAAGUUGCCCGGAUAGGCUGUGAAGCGUGGAUAAGGCUGCAAGACAAACCGAAGUCCAAUAACUGCACGGAACGCCAACAGUAAACGGGGCAGGUAUAAGUGGGAAAGAG